rnacentral:rRNA from 1 species
CCUACGGGGGGCUGCAGUGGGGGAUAUUGCACAAUGGGGGGAACCCUGAUGCAGCGACGCCGCGUGGGUGAAGAAGCGCCUCGGCGCGUAAAGCCCUGUCAGCAGGGAAGAAAAUGACGGUACCUGAAGAAGAAGCCCCGGGUAAAUACGAGCCAGCAGCCGCGGUAAUACGUCGGGGGCAAGCGUUAUCCGGAUUUAAUGGGUGUAAAGGGGGCGCAGGCGGCAGUGCAAGCCAGGAGUGAAAGCCCGGGGCCCAACCCCGGGUCCGCUCUUGGAACUGGGUGGCUGGAGUGCAGGAGGGGCAGGUGGAAUUCCUGGUGUAGCGGUGAAAUGCGUAGAUAUCAGGAGGAACACCGGUGGCGAAGGCGGCCUGCUGGACUGAAACUGACGUUGAGGCCCGAAAGCGUGGGGAGCAAACAGGAUUAGAUACCCUUGUAGUC